GGAAGACAGAAAACUAGACAUGUCUAUACGAUGGAACGGAUAACAGCUCAACUACAACUGGAAGUGCCAACCUUUGAGAAAAAAUGGAGACUAAUUAUAAAAUAUCUUGAAAGGACACUCAAGCCUUAACCUUGUUACAUCUGUGCUUAGAUCCAUGGGGAAGAGAUCAUAUUCCUUAUUAUGGAAGCCAGCGUCUCCUUCCUCCUCUUCUCCAUGGUCUGACAGUAGACGGAGUUCUGUACAAGUGUACUGCACAUAUUGUGUGUCUCAUAGCAGACAUGAGGAGCUGCUUCAUGGCCUCUCCUUGGUGAGGCUGAUCCGCUCCCACUCUGCUAAGGAAAGACUUUUCUGUGGGGUCCUGGUAAUAAACAGAUUUUUACAGGUUGUUGGCACUAAUACUUUGAGCCUUUCUUUCAUUGAAGACUCACUUCUUCAAGAACAUCAGAGUUUGAACCCAGAGAGAAAAAGCUUCAACUGUUCAUUGUGUCCUGGUGGAAAUUUCUAAAGGCCAAGAUGACAACUGUUCCAAACCAAGGCUCCCAGAGACUCAGGUCUGUGAAAAUGAGACGGUGGAGCACACGUUCACGUUGUCGUGCAAGGAGUCAAAAGUAUUUCUACAACUCCUUAAAACAUCUUGAGGAGCAAAAGGAAGAACUGAAACUGAGCUGGAACCUGUGUCAGCCAAUCAAAGUGGGAGGCUCUGCCUGACACCUGGCUGAGGGUCUGAUGAAAGACGUUAAGGGUGCCUCUUGGCAGGUGGCAGCAUCAUAGCCACAAAAAGGAACCUCAAGCCUGCUGUGAGUUUAUUCAGAUGACAUCAAGCCUGUUUAUACUGCAUGCAGAUGAUACUCCAUCCUCUUAAACAGAGAACACUGCACCAGAAAGAGAGCUCACACAACUGGAGCUGCAUCGGCAGGAAGACCAAGCAGACCAGAACCAGAGAGAUCUUCUCUGCAGAAUGUAUUACAGAGCCUUAAAAAAACAAGAAGACGACGAUGUUUUAUUCACUACAUACAAUGUAGAGAAGGUCAAUCCUGCAUGAACAGUGACACCACCACCCCAAGCAUCAAUACCAACCAACCGAUGACCACUGAAUGAAAAGAACAUCACAAACAUCAGUGUUAAAUUAUUUUUAGAAUUAAACAGCACUUGCUUACUUAAUAAGGUACUUACUGCCAUAUUGUUUUAGUUGCUAUAAUAACUCUAAAAUCGUCAGGAAAGCUUAUUCUGUUUCUGCAAAUCAUGUUUCUAGCGACGCCUUGUUCUCUGGAUACAACUGAAGGUCUUUGUUAUGUGGUUCAGGGAAAAUUUUCUUUGUGUAACAAUUUCAUUUUAUAAAGAAAGAAAGUAACGAACUCUUAAGCUUGAUGCUAAUUGUAAUUGUAGACUUUGUAUGGUGAGAAAUUUGUAAGUAAGUAAAAUUUAUUUA